GAUGAACGCUGGCGGCGUGCCUAAUACAUGCAAGUCGAGCGAACGGACGAGAAGCUUGCUUCUCUGAUGUUAGCGGCGGACGGGUGAGUAACACGUGGAUAACCUACCUAUAAGACUGGGAUAACUUCGGGAAACCGGAGCUAAUACCGGAUAAUAUUUUGAACCGCAUGGUUCAAAAGUGAAAGACGGUCUUGCUGUCACUUAUAGAUGGAUCCGCGCUGCAUUAGCUAGUUGGUAAGGUAACGGCUUACCAAGGCAACGAUGCAUAGCCGACCUGAGAGGGUGAUCGGCCACACUGGAACUGAGACACGGUCCAGACUCCUACGGGAGGCAGCAGUAGGGAAUCUUCCGCAAUGGGCGAAAGCCUGACGGAGCAACGCCGCGUGAGUGAUGAAGGUCUUCGGAUCGUAAAACUCUGUUAUUAGGGAAGAACAUAUGUGUAAGUAACUGUGCACAUCUUGACGGUACCUAAUCAGAAAGCCACGGCUAACUACGUGCCAGCAGCCGCGGUAAUACGUAGGUGGCAAGCGUUAUCCGGAAUUAUUGGGCGUAAAGCGCGCGUAGGCGGUUUUUUAAGUCUGAUGUGAAAGCCCACGGCUCAACCGUGGAGGGUCAUUGGAAACUGGAAAACUUGAGUGCAGAAGAGGAAAGUGGAAUUCCAUGUGUAGCGGUGAAAUGCGCAGAGAUAUGGAGGAACACCAGUGGCGAAGGCGACUUUCUGGUCUGUAACUGACGCUGAUGUGCGAAAGCGUGGGGAUCAAACAGGAUUAGAUACCCUGGUAGUCCACGCCGUAAACGAUGAGUGCUAAGUGUUAGGGGGUUUCCGCCCCUUAGUGCUGCAGCUAACGCAUUAAGCACUCCGCCUGGGGAGUACGACCGCAAGGUUGAAACUCAAAGGAAUUGACGGGGACCCGCACAAGCGGUGGAGCAUGUGGUUUAAUUCGAAGCAACGCGAAGAACCUUACCAAAUCUUGACAUCCUUUGACAACUCUAGAGAUAGAGCCUUCCCCUUCGGGGGACAAAGUGACAGGUGGUGCAUGGUUGUCGUCAGCUCGUGUCGUGAGAUGUUGGGUUAAGUCCCGCAACGAGCGCAACCCUUAAGCUUAGUUGCCAUCAUUAAGUUGGGCACUCUAAGUUGACUGCCGGUGACAAACCGGAGGAAGGUGGGGGUGACGUCAAAUCAUCAUGCCCCUUAUGAUUUGGGCUACACACGUGCUACAAUGGACAAUACAAAGGGCAGCGAAACCGCGAGGUCAAGCAAAUCCCAUAAAGUUGUUCUCAGUUCGGAUUGUAGUCUGCAACUCGACUACAUGAAGCUGGAAUCGCUAGUAAUCGUAGAUCAGCAUGCUACGGUGAAUACGUUCCCGGGUCU
rnacentral:rRNA from 1 species